GGGGUCCCGGCAGGGACAAGCCGCUGCCGCCAUCGGUCACUGAGGUGGGGUGGGGAAGAGAGGUUCGCCACGGCUUCAAGACCUGGGUCCGGCCAGUGGGCAGCCACAGCGGAGGACUCAGGAUUAUCAAUCACAGUCAUAUCUAUAAUGAAACUGGAAAAAAAACUACACGGAAAAGAAUUCAAAGUGAUUUGGCACUGCCUUCUGUUUGGCCCAUCUGCUGUUAUUUUUUUUCUCCUACUGGCGAAACAUUAGACAAUAUUUCAACUUAGCAUCUCAUAGGCAGUUAAACAACAGACAAGGAUUCUCCACUUGAGUCAGUUUCAGACCCAGAACCUUUUGACUAAAGACAUAGUCAAAUCCCUUGGAGGAAGGACCAUGUAACACCAUGGAAGUUUCAGGAGGAGAAGACAGCUAGAACCUGAAGGAUCUAGUUGGCCUUUCCAUAAACAAAUGUUUAUGGAAAAGUGGAUUCAUCGCGUAGCAAAAGGUGUGGGAUGUGGCAGCCACGGUGGUAGACUGCCCAAAUAUCUCAAGAAAAAACUUGAUCUGCUGUGAGGACACCACACUGCAAUGUUUGAAUCAAGGCCAUUUUCUUCCCAGGCAUUUCCCUCCAUAAAUCUCCUUCACUACUAACUGUGUCUUGGCACCUGAACCAACACCGGACCUAACCAACACAGUUUUGAGGAAGGCUGAAGAAGAGUGGGCUGGAGAAGAGGAAAUGAUACCAUGUUCUUUUAAGAAAAAAGAGGAAAAAGCCCACAGGAUGAACACUACGGUGUAUAACCCUGUCAUGUCUUUUUAGCAAUGAACUUUGGAGCCCUGGAAACAAGUAGCCCUAAGUUACAACACUCAGUUUUAAAUGGGAAAGAGCAUCUCCUAAAAGAAGAGAUAACUAUCCAGAGAAGCUGUGAAGAGGAGUUCAAAGGAAGGGUAAACUCUGAGUUUACAGUGUGGCUUCUUGCCAUUUUGUAUAUUGACAGAACACUAUAAGGCUUAUGUCAAUAUCCUGUAAAGGAUGAGUGUCACAGGAGGCAUGAAAAAUAAAGCUGAAAGAAAUUUGUAUAAUAUCUAUAAAAGCACUUCUAACCCUGAGAGAAAGCAUUAAAAUAAAAGAGAGGGGCUGUAUAUUAUCUCUGUUUCUGCAUAAGAAUGCAGAAGAAUUCAUGAACUCUGUGAAUGCAGAAGUUAAUGAACAUCAUGAAAAGAAUAAAAGAGGAAUGAAAAUGCAAACAAACAAGUUUGGGAUGCUAUCACACGUUAAUCGGAAAUGCAAAAAUAAAUUGACAAUACUAUGUGUUGGCAAGAACACAAUGGGAACUCUCAUUCACUACUAGUGGGUGUGUAAAUUAAUACAAACUGUUUGAAAACAGUUUUAACUUGUCCUUUCAAACUAUACUACAAGGCUACAGUAACCAAAACAGCAUGGUACUGGUACCAAAACAGACAUAUAGACCAAUGGGGCAGAGCAGAAACCUCAGACAUAACACCACACAUCUACAACCAUCUGAUCUUCAACAAACCUGAUAAAAACAAGUAAUGGGGAAAGGAUCUCCUAUUCAGUAAAUGGUGCUGGGAAAACUGGCUACUUAUAUGCAGAAAACUGAAACUGGACCCCUUCCUUACACCUUAUACAAAAAUUAACUCACAAUGCAUUACAAACUUAAAUAUAAAAUCCAAAAGCAUAAAAACUCUAGAAGAAAACCUAGGCAAUACCAUUUAGGACAGGCAUGGGCAAAGACUUCAUGACAAAAACUUCAAAAGCAAUUGCAACAAAAGCCCAAAUUGACAAAUGGGGUCUCAUUAAACUAAAGACCUUCUGCACAGCAAAAGAAACUAUCAUCAGAGUGAACAGGCAACCUACAGAUUGGGAGAAAAUUUUUGCAAUCUACCCAUCUGAUGAAAGUGUAAUAUCCAGAAUUUACAAGGAACUUAAACAUAUUUACAAGAAAAAAACAACCCCAUCGAAAAGUGGGCACAGGAUAUGAGCAGACACUUCUCAAAAGAAGACAUUUAUGCAGCCAACAAACAUGAAAAAAGCUCAACAUCACUGAUCAUCAGAGAAAUGCAAAUCAAAACCACAAUGAGAUACCAUCUCACACCAGUCAGAAUGGUGAUUAUUAAAAAGUUAGGAGACAAUAGAUGCUGGCAAGGCUGUGGAGAAAUAGGAAUACUUUUACACUGUUGGUGGGAAUGUAAAUUAGUUCAACCAUUGUGGAAGACAGCAUAGUGAUUCCUCAAGGAUCUAGAACCAGAAAUACCAUUUGUUUCAGCAAUCCUAUUACUGGGAAUAUACCCAAAGGAAUAUAAGUCAUUCUACACAUGCACACAUAUGUUUAUUGCAGCAAUAUUUACAAUAGCAAAGACAUGGAACCAACCCAAAUGCCCAUCAAUGAUAGACUGGUUAAAGAAAAUGUGGUACAUAUACACCAUAGAGCCAUAAAAAGGAAGGAGAGCAUGUCCUUUGCAGGGACAGGGAUGAAGCUGAAAGCCAUCAUCCUCAGUAAACAAGCACGGGAACAGAAAACCAAACACUGCAUGUUCUCACUCAUAAGUGGGAGUUGAAUAUUGAGAACACGUGGACACAGA